UAUGAGAUAGGUUGAAAAAUAUUACUUCU
rnacentral:piRNA from 1 species